rnacentral:lncRNA from 1 species
UAUAUACUGUUCAAUGGAAAGCACUUGACUUUUUUUUCCCAUUUUUUCUUGAGUCUCGCUUCCUGACAAAAUUAAUGAAAAUUUUGCAGGACAUUCAUGGAAAUCAUUAAGUAGGCCCUAUGAGUAUGAGGGAAGGUAUCUGUCUCUCUUUUUUCCUUCUUUCCUUUUCUGUUUGGAGGGUGUUGAUCAGGUUUGAUCAGGAGACAGGCAAAGCACAAUAUAAAACAGCUUUCUCUCCUCAAGGAUCCAUGUCUUGAAGAUUUGGUAGGAGAUUCAUAGAAAUGAGGAUGUGCAACAAAGGGCAUCAUGGAAGGCACCCACCUUUUUUCUUCUCAUUCCCAUUGGAGCCUGGAGACCCUCAAGAGACCAGAAACCAGUUUCCUCCAGGAGACUCAUGAAGAUCAGGCAGGAGACUCAUGGAUAUUAGUGGAGUGCUUCAGGAUUUGAUGAAAGGUGGUGAAGUUCUGAGUGGAAACAGAUGGUGCAGAAUUGAAGGCAUCAGACUCUCAACUUCCCACUUUCCAUGGAGGCUAGAAUCAUGUCUUGAGACUCAUGGAAAUCAUAGAGGAGACUCAUGGAAUGUGAUUGAAGGUACCUGCCUUUCCUCUUUCCCUCUCUCCUUUUUUAUUUGGAAGAUCAAGAUCAAGUAG